rnacentral:rRNA from 1 species
GAUGAACGCUAGCGGCAGGCUUAAUACAUGCAAGUCGAGGGGCAGCACAGAUAGCAAUAUUGGGUGGCGACCGGCAAACGGGUGCGGAACACGUACACAACCUUCCUUUUAGUGUGGGAUAGCCCAGAGAAAUUUGGAUUAAUACCACAUAGUAUAUUGGAGUGGCAUCACUUUGAUAUUAAAGAUUUAUCGCUAAAAGAUGGGUGUGCGUAUGAUUAGGUAGUUGGUAGAGGUAACGGCUCACCAAGCCUUCGAUCAUUAACUGGUGUGAGAGCACGACCAGUCACACGGGCACUGAGACACGGGCCCGACUCCUACGGGAGGCAGCAGUAAGGAAUAUUGGUCAAUGGACGGAAGUCUGAACCAGCCAUGCCGCGUGAAGGGUGACGGCCCUCUGGGUUGUAAACUUCUUUUAUGUGGGACGAAAAAGGGCCAUUCUUGGUCAACUGACGGUACCAUAGGAAUAAGCACCGGCUAACUCCGUGCCAGCAGCCGCCGUAA